rnacentral:rRNA from 1 species
CCUACGGGCGGCAGCAGUGGGGGAUAUUGGACAAUGGGGGAAACCCUGAUCCAGCGACGCCGCGUGAGUGAAGAAGUAUUUCGGUAUGUAAAGCUCUAUCAGCAGGGAAGAAAGACAUGACGGUACCCGAGUAAGAAGCCCCGGCUAACUACGUGCCAGCAGCCGCGGUAAUACGUAGGGGGCAAGCGUUAUCCGGAAUUACUGGGUGUAAAGGGAGCGUAGACGGUAAUGCAAGUCUGGAGUGAAAGGCGGGGGCCCAACCCCCGGACUGCUCUGGAAACUGUGUAACUGGAGUGCAGGAGAGGGAGGCGGAAUUCCGAGUGUAGCGGUGAAAUGCGUAGAGAUUAGGAGGAACACCAGUGGCGAAGGCGGCCUGCUGGACUGUAACUGACGUUGAGGCUCGAAAGCGUGGGGAGCAAACAGGAUUAGAUACCCCUGUAGUC